UGUUUCCACAGGUUAAUUUACCAUGGGAUUGGCAGUUUUGUCUGAGGUUUAAUGGUAAUUCACUUUCUUUAUUCUGUCAGAUUACACUUGGCAGUGAAGGUUUGUUCAUUUAUGUCUUCAACGGGCUCCAGGGAAAGUGUCCUGUGAGGGUCAGCACAAGUGGAUCAAGAGGAAGGAACCAGGCUCCUGACAGGAGGAGAAGAGAGAAUCCAGGAUGAGGGCCUGGAAGGAGUCUGCAAGGCUGGACUGUGGAUCCUCCUGACAAGGAGAAUGAAUGACUGUUAUUCACAGUGGGAAUUAGCACCAGCUGCAUGCAUAGUAGUCAUGAGAUAUCACCAGGAGUAAAGGGAGUUCUGUAAAAUUAGGGAAAAGAAGAGAUUCUACGGUAAAAAGUCCAUAAAGCACCAGCACAUCCUGGUUUACCAUGUCCCUAUUC